GGGUGUAGCUCAAUGGUAGAGUUCUGGCCUUCCAAGCCAGCUGUGAGGGUUCGAUCCCCUUCACCCGCUCCA
rnacentral:tRNA from 1 species